rnacentral:rRNA from 1 species
GACGAACGCUGGCGGCGUGCUUAACACAUGCAAGUCGAACGAUGAAGCCGGAGCUUGCUCUGGUGAAUUAGUGGCGAACGGGUGAGUAACACGUGAGUAACCUGCCCUCGACUCUGGGAUAACUGCUAGAAAUGGUAGCUAAUACCGGAUACGACCCUCGGAGGCAUCUCCAGGGGGUGGAAAGAAUUUCGGUCAAGGAUGGACUCGCGGCCUAUCAGCUAGUUGGUGAGGUAACGGCUCACCAAGGCGACGACGGGUAGCCGGCCUGAGAGGGUGACCGGCCACACUGGGACUGAGACACGGCCCAGACUCCUACGGGAGGCAGCAGAGGGGAAUAUUGCACAAUGGGCGCAAGCCUGAUGCAGCAACGCCGCGUGAGGGAUGACGGCCUUCGGGUUGUAAACCUCUUUUAGUAGGGAAGAAGCGAAAGUGACGGUACCUGCAGAAAAAGCACCGGCUAACUACGUGCCAGCAGCCGCGGUAA